rnacentral:tRNA from 3 species
GCGAGGGUUGCCCAGCCAGGCCAAAGGCGCUAGGUUCAGAGCCUAGUCUCGUAGGAGUACAAGGGUUCGAAUCCCUUCUCUCGCACCA